GCCUACUUAGCUCAGAAGGUAGAGCAUCACAUUCGUAAUGCGAUGGUCAUCGGUUCAAUUCCGAUAGUAGGCU
rnacentral:tRNA from 1 species